UUAUUCAGUCUUUUCUUUCGUUUUCAAAAUUGACUUUGUAGGUAUGAAAAAUCACUUGGUAAUUUUAGGAAUUUAAUUCCUUUACCGCCGGCUAAUCCUGUGCGUAACCCUAGACAGAUUUCUUGAUUGCAUCUUUAUGUUAAAUUGACGUCCUGAAGACUUUGGAGUUGGGCAUUAAUCUACUAAUUCAUGUGCUUGGUCAAGAUGAUAUACUAAUGUAUGCCGAUGUAAACUAGUGUCUUACAUAUAAGAAUAAGACAACGUCUUUAAGUUGCCAUAGUUCCUCAUCUUUUCUGCUCUCUUGGCAAGUGUUUCCAUCUUCUUUAGAAGUCAUUCUUUUAGUGCGCUUGUGUGAAGUAACACUACCGGUAUCACUACAAGUACUAGACGCCGGCGAAGGCGGUGGAGGCAUGUCAAUAUCUCCAAAAUAAUUGAAUUCCUUAAAACAACAAACAUGUAUCGCCUUCUAUGACCUAACCCAAUGUAAAUAUGUAAAUAUGUAAGUGUAAU